rnacentral:lncRNA from 1 species
AGCAGAAGCAGAAAGCCCCAACAGCCAGACACAAAGGGCUUGUGAUGCUCAUGUCGGAAGACUUGGCUCUUUACCUGAAGGAACAGUGGAGUGACCCAGCGUCCCGGGUGCCUUGACUGACUGGAUUUCGUUUGGGGCUUUUGACUUGGAAAUGCCAAGCUUGGACCUGGAAGCUCUUUCCAUACUGGCUAGCUUCUGUGGUAUAGAAGGUGAAGGCGUCACGCAAUCUGCUGGAGGAGAAGAGUCCCCAACCGGCAACUCGGACCAUGGCAACGAUGGCCAACCUGCUGGCUCAGAAAACGAGGGAGCCAAGAGACUGUAAAAGGUGGAGGUUGGUGGGGACUAAGGCUAAACAGCGUUUUGUGCACGUGACCCGGCUGUUGCUUUCAAUGAACACAUAGCAUCUGUGAUUGCCACCAUCAGACUAGCCCAAGCCAGAGUGCAGCUCACCAGGGAUGACGGAGAGGGGCCAUGAGGCUUACACAAAACUGAAGUCCUAUUGAUAUUUGACAGUUGCUGGGGAAAGAGAGUAAUUUUUUGGAACUUUGGUCUCUUAUAGGUUGUCCAUACUCCAGUAUGAUUAGCUUCUCAGGCAAGUGCAUAUUGACAAGGCUCAUGGAGCCAAUUGGGUAAAAAUAAAAUAAGUAAAAUAGAAGAGGAUGUGAAGUUGAGAUGGAAACAUGAGGGGUUUGGGAGAAGUCGGAGGGGAGAUGGGGAUAAAAAUGAACAGAAUGAACUAUAUGCAGAUAUGAAAUUCUUAAAGAAAAGACAAAAUACUACAUUCACACAUAUUUAUUUAUAUCUUAACCUGUUAUGUUUAUUAUUACCUAUUAUAUAAUACUAUUAUUUAAUAUGAAAGAAUAAAACUAUAUUUAAUUUAAA